GAGAAGUGUCUUUCGGGAUGCAAGUAAAGUGGCGCACGNGGUGAGUAACACGUAAGCAAUCUACCCUUAGGCCUGGGAUAACCCCGAGAAAUCGGGGCUAAUACCGGAUGAUGCAGCGGCACCGCAUGGUGAUGUUGUUAAAGUCUAUAUGGCGUCUAUGGAUGAGCUUGCGUCUGAUUAGCUUGUUGGUGAGGUAAUGGCUUACCAAGGCUACGAUCAGUAGCUGGUCUGAGAGGAUGAUCAGCCACACUGGAACUGAGACACGGUCCAGACUCCUACGGGAGGCAGCAGUGAGGAAUAUUGGGCAAUGGGCGAAAGCCUGACCCAGCAACGCCGCGUGGAGGAUGAAUGUCGUAAGAUUGUAAACUCCUGUUAGAGGGGAAGAAUAAUUCCGAUCAAAUCGGAACUUGACUGUACCCUCAGAGAAAGCUCCGGCUAACUACGUGCCAGCAGCCGCGGUAAUACGUAGGGAGCAAGCGUUGUCCGGAUUUACUGGGUGUAAAGGGCGCGCAGGCGGGUCCGUAAGUCAGAGGUGAAAUCCUACAGCUCAACUGUAGAACUGCCUUUGAUACUGCUGAUCUUGAGUAUGGAAGAGAGAGACGGAAUUCCAGGUGUAGUGGUGAAAUA
rnacentral:rRNA from 1 species